rnacentral:sRNA from 1 species
AAAGAGCUUUGGGUACUGGACUCUUUUGUGCACAGAACACAUAUAGCAUUGGGCAGCAGCAGUGAAUGCUUCCCCAACCCCGUCCUAUCUUAUGUUUCAACCCUGACUUGAUGUAUCUCCUGUCGGGUGAGAGGGGAGUUCUGAAGCCCUCUGAAGAGAGGUUAAU